rnacentral:misc_RNA from 1 species
AUUUUGAUCUAUCAGAGUUGCAAAGGCUUGAUAGAAAGCAAGAUCAAAUUUCGAGAUAUCUUAGAGAUUUUAAGCGUGAUGCUAUCAGAGCAAAAUAUCAAAGCAGAUUUAGAUAUUACUGAGGAGACGAUGAAGAGGAACCUAUAUGUUUAAGCAGCCUUUGACCUUUUAGAUUGUUACUCUGAAUGUUAUGAACUUAAAAGCAACUGUGACGGUAUUUAUGCUUUUCAUGCAUUAAUAAAGAAUGCCAAUAUCC